AUGUGAUCCACCAGCAAGGAGGGACGCCAAUAAGGCAUCCAAUAAGAUAAGUCUUAUAAAAUAUAUAGAUUUAUGAUAGUUAAGACUGAGCUAGCAAAUGAGAAGUCCUAGUCAUUGGCCAAGCAGCAUUGUACCUAAUACAAGUUUCUGUGUAUUCAUUUGGGCCUAACUCGGGCAGGCGGCUGGCUUAAAGCUCACACGUGGUGGUGGAGCUCAGGCGCUUUUGGCAGAAAGAUUUAUUGUAACAUGGGAAAGGUGGGCAGAGAGAGGUGCCGAAAAGAGAUGCCAUGUAGCAAGGAAAAAGUAAUAGGUCCAGAUCCUUCUCCAGUAAGAUAGACCAUGUGGAAAUACAUAGAUUAAUAGAAAUGGGUUAAUAAUUAAGUCAAAGCUAGCCAGUAAGAAGUCCUAGCCAUUGGCCAACAGUUUUCUAACUAAUAUAUGUGUUUAUGUGGGGUUGAGAAGGGUGGCAGGACCUGGCAGGACAAGAAAAACUCCAGUUACAUUCUAGGAAUAAAAUUAUUCUGGGAAAUCUUAUAAUACUACACUUAAUCUCUCUCAUAUUGGGCUCACCAGCUGCUGAAGCAACAGUUUAAAAUUAAUAUCUUUAAAACUGGGCCUCAUUGAAGUUAAGAAUAGAAAACCAGAGGGUAUUUAAGAAUAGAAAAAUAUUGAGGGGAGUUUAAGGGUAAAUUUAGCUCACUGAAUUUGUCUUGUCCCGUCCCCUUGAAGGAAAAAAAAAAGGCCUCACAAUAUUAUUAAAUGAAGUAAACAUCAAAACUAUGCAAGAAAAACACCUUUCUGAAGGACACAGCCUGCCCUGGAGUGGAGCAGAACCCACCAUAAUGACUGUCCUUCCAUUCACUCCUCCAUGGUGACACUUACACAGGAGCACGGGAAAUCUCGGAGAUAAAAUCUGAACUCAUAGCCCACUUCCAUCUCCACUUUUCCUGGCACUUCCUCCUGCCUGCAGCAGCCUGAGAUGCCGGAACUCAACUCGCCGCUUUCCAACUAAGGAUCUCUUAAACUCACUGAUCUGCCUAUUCGCUACAAUCCGCUUUUUAUAACAGAGAGAUAGGCCAGCUGCUGGCCCCACCCCAUUUCCUCCGAGAAGACUGGGCACUGAAGAAACUUCAUCUCAGUGACAACGCUGGUCACUGAGCAACCCUGCCCUUCACCUCAACUGGUACAAAGUAUUCCAGACCAUGGACAAGAGGACAACGGAAUCGACUUUCCCGGCGUUGCUUGGGCCAACGGUAGGCGAGUCUUCCCAAAGUCUGUAAUCCACAGGUCACAAGUUAUCAGCAAGAAGGCAGGUGUCCUGCAGCCCACUACUAUGGAUGGAGCACCUUGGGGAUGGCUGUCCAUGCAGCCUGCUGGCAAGUCUCUGUUAUUCUUUAAUCAUUGAUUCAGGUAAAAUCUUAUCCUUCUCAAGAACUCUGAUGCUUUUGACGACUGAUAGUCUUGCGGGCUUAAAGCAAAACAGAUUCCAGUAACAGGUAUUUUAGGGUUUAUCUAAAGAUAGGAAAGUCUAAGAAUGUAGUUAUAAAGGCCUGAGGAUAAAAAGGCUUAAAUGAUGAUAAAAUGAGUUAAGACAUUAAAAAGAAUAAAAUAUGUUCCUGAUUUCUCUAUUUCUCAUGCUACUGUUCAUAGUAAAGUUCAACAAUACCACUAUAGGAUCAUAACUACAAGGUCAAGAUUAAGAUGCUUUUCAUUGUCCUAAAAAAAAAAAAAAAAAAAAACUGUCUAUUUUUAAAUGGUAAUACUUUCAGCCAAGUUGCUUCUAACAUGAAUAUGCUUCUAACAUGUCUAAUACUUAUGUUUCCACAAACUCUAAGGAUUCUUGUAAGUUCCAGGGAGCCGAAUCAGAUCCAAACAGGUCAGAUUCACUCCAGGUCUAAGAUGCGCCAGGGAGUUCCAUACAGCCUGGACUACAAUGAAACAACCAGCUUCCCCAGGACGUGGCAGCACCCCAACCUUCUCGGGUCCCCCAAAGAUGGUCAACGCCCCCACGUCAGCAGGAAGCAGUCUUAAGAAUUCGACGCCCUUAUUCCUUAACCUGCCAUGUCUAAACACCCCACCUUUUUUAAUAAUAAGUAGAGGUGGGAAUGAAAGGUUCAGGCAUUAUGCUGGCCUGCCCCUGUUACCUGGUGGAAUCCACUCAGGCAAUACCCUGGUCAGCCCAAGGUUCCAUGGGAAAGAAGUCUGCACGCAGGUGCAGAGGACCCCUUUAAAAGAUAGGCCCCUGCACCUUUCUCUCUCUCUCUCUGCCCCUUUACGCUCGCGCGCGCUCUCUCUCUCCCCCUGUUCCUGCUCUCUGUCCCCUCUCUCUGUUUCCCCGCUCUGUCUCUCUAUGGCGACCGGCCAUGGCGGUCAGCCAUUACCCUGUUCCUCUUCUUAGUCUCCCCAUUCUACCGGGCCUUAUAAUAAACUUAUAAUCUUAUGUCUGUCUCAAUAUUUCUCUUUUCUUCUUUUUAAACAAAAGAAUAACAGUGAAGAAUAAGCAAAGGUCAGAGUGAGGCUGCUGUAUGGGCAUGGGGACACUCUGUGCAGACACAAAGGAAAAGUA
ensembl:lncRNA